rnacentral:rRNA from 1 species
AUCUACGGCCAUGCCACCCUGAACACGCCCAAUCUUGUCUGCUCCCGGAAGCUAAGCAGGGUUGGGCCUGGAUAGUACUUAAAUGGGAGACCACCUAGGAAUACCAGGUGCUUUAGGCU